AGCUUUGUGCAGUGGCAGUAUUGUAGCUAAUGAGUCUAUCUAAAGCACAAUCAUUGCUAACUGUAAACUCUUCUCAAAGAAAGG
ensembl:snRNA U4 U4 spliceosomal RNA